rnacentral:lncRNA from 1 species
AAAAGAUUACAAAUAAAAUGUAUAUUUCAUUUCAGUAGCAUAUCACAUCAAAUACAAUACAUCAUCCACCGACUACACGCAUUAAGGUUCAACGCCUAACAAGGGCGCAUCAAAAUAAUUUUACAUGUACACAACAGAAUACUUCUGCAAAAACACCUGCAAGGUUCUAGUAUACAAGGUUCAACGCAUUAAGGUUCAUCCUCUUCCUCUGCACAAUAUGCUCUUGCCAUUGCCGCCUGCAAGAAAAAAAUGAUGGUAUCUGAAAAAGAAGUAUGCAGUAUGUCCAAAUUAGGAGUAUACCAAAACAGUAUGAGUUUUGCAGCCUAAUUAGCAUUUUUUUUCUCAUAUACAUAUUUCUUUACUAUAAUAACUAAAUGUAUGUUGGAACACCAACUAUUUCUUGUAUUAGAUAUAUCACAAAAUCUAUUUCAUGGUAUUAAAAUUGUGUAAUGCUUCAGCCCCAGCUAACCAAUAUAUCUAGUAGUCUCCGUACCGAAGUUAGAAUAUAUUUGAUACGGAGUCGUCAAAUGCACUCUCUGCUGCACAAUCCUUUUAUUCAAGUAAUCUCUUUGGUAGAAUAACUUAAUGUAUGUUGGAACACCAACUAUUUCUUCUAUUAGAUAUAGCACCAAAUCUAUUUCAUAGAUUUUACUGUUUUCUGAAAUAAUGUGAUAUCCACGGCAUGGAAAGAAAGCCUGUCUUAUUGGAUAGAAUUCAAGAUGCAUUUUCCCUUUUAUGUCAAGUGGACGUAAGAAUUUCUAGUCCGUGUGUAUCAUGUAUAACUCUAAUUAAGUAUACCUGAACAUUCCAAAGGCGAAGUUUUAUAUUAUAUUGGCAAACUUUAUAUUCUUUUUUUUUGUUUGCAGGGAGCAAACUUUUAUAUUCAAUGGCGGUAGAUAAAUAUUGCUAAAAUCCUAUAAGAUAAUGCACCGAGUUAAUCAAUCCACGAAGGUUAUUCAGAGAAACAUAGGUAGUAAUAUCAUCGAUACAGGGGACAUAUCCUUUAGUUACAUGGUGAUAUUAUAUGCAUAGGUGCAACAUGCAAUUGAUAGAGAUAUUAAUCCAUCUAGAAAUCUAGGAAGAUAUACUUAAGCACUCAUCAAAAAAUGAUUCUAAUAUUCAAUCCUACUUAAAAAAGAGUUAUGCGUACACGUAUUGAUUAAGUAGAAGUAAAUACUAACAAAUUCGUGCAGAAAUUUACUUCGGCCAACGCAAAUCCGACUCAACUGGAUACAUACAACUAAAUCAAACCUUUGUCUCUUAAGUAAUCAUUGAUCCCAAUGCAGCGAUCACACCUCCACUUCAAUUGUCCUGCACCGGCAUUUUUCUCACCCACCUUACUUGACAUUAAUUGUACCUGCAAGGCGACAACUACAUUAGCUUUCUCCUUGAGCCGUUCACAAUGGUGUUCCACUGAUUAUUCAAGAGGCAGGAUCACAUAUACACAGUGACCUGAGUGAUUUAGCAUUGAUUGACAUCUGUUACUUGUGCACAUGUGUGUGAAUAAAAUAGCACCUAAAUUAAGCCAGAUAAAUAUGAAAGAAUUUGUAGUAGCUCCUUACCUUGCUGGCACAAAUAAUCGAUUGACAGUGAAUAUUAUAAAAAUAGGUAUACCUGAACUAAAACUGUAGCUAAAACAACUUCAUGCACCAUAUAACUACACUAAGACAAUUAAAUGCUGAAACUUCCACAUUAAGACAAUUACUUUGCUUUAAAUUAGGAUCUAAAAAAUGUAUAUAUGUUAAGUUAACGUGGGAGAUUGUUUGUGUAAAAGAGUCCAAUUUAUACCAUGUAACUUACAUGAUAGAUGAGCUGAGUAUAAAUAUAUACCAUAGUAAAAUUAUCCUGAAGAUUAGGCUAUCUAUAAU